AACGAACGCUGGCGGCAUGCCUAACACAUGCAAGUCGAACGAGACCUUCGGGUCUAGUGGCGCACGGGUGCGUAACGCGUGGGAACCUGCCCUUAGGUUCGGAAUAACUCCCCGAAAGGGGUGCUAAUACCGGAUAAUGUCUUCGGACCAAAGAUUUAUCGCCUUUGGAUGGGCCCGCGUUGGAUUAGCUAGUUGGUAUGGUAAAAGCCUAACACGGCGACGAUCCAUAGCUGGUCUGAGAGGAUGAUCAGCCACACUGGGACUGAGACACGGCCCAGACUCCUACGGGAAGCAGCAGAGGGGAAUAUUGGACAAUGGGCGAAAGCCUGAUCCAGCAAUGCCGCGUGAGUGAUGAAGGCCUUAGGGUUGUAAAGCUCUUUUACCCGGGAUGAUAAUGACAGUACCGGGAGAAUAAGCGCCGGCUAACUCCGUG
rnacentral:rRNA from 1 species